GGGUAGUGAAUGGGCGGAAAACGAUGGGUUCUGAGGACGCGCGCCGCGACGCCUGCGAGCGCUCAGUAGUCACCCCGACGCCGCGCAAAACACCAGCGUCGCGACGCUCCGGCAGUACACGUAUCGCGCCAAAAAAAGUUUACCGCAAAACUUCGCUUCGAAUACAAUAAAUUUUAGUUUUAGCAUGUUCUGAAUUACAUAACAAUCACAUUAAAUUUGCAUGAAAUGCUCUUUUGGAAAUGGGAGGAAUCCUUGUAAAUUCAAUGAAGUUUUAGGGUUAAACACAAUGACGAAAUGACUACUCUACGACCGAUCAGCUCUGGAGUCCCUCAGGGAAGCGUUUCGGGCCCCUUGAUAUAUCUCCUUUUCACGGCGGACUUGCCUACAUCUCAACAAGUCACUGUGGCCACGUUCGCUGAUGACACUGCAAUCCUGGCAUCGCCUUAUUAACAUCGAAAACUGUGGAGAACUAUAGCCAACUAGGCUAAGUCGAUGCAUGUGACGUUUACUAUGCGUCGACAGACCUAUCUUCCAGUCCUAUUAAAUAAUAAUAGCAAAGGCUAGCACAAGAUACUAUAAUCGGCUAGAGAAUCAACCAAACUAACUGGCUACGGAGCUGAUGCAUACUGUAGAUCAGAGGUUCCCAAACUUUUUUGUGUCGUAGACCCCUUGUCAUGUUUUUCGGUUUUGGGUAGA